CGAGGGCCCCGCCCCUCCCGCCUCUCCGCCAAUGGCCGCGACCACCGCCGCCCGGGCGCCCCGGGCCACAGCUGACAGCCUGGGAGGGCCCGCCCAGCCACUCCCGAGAACCACUGCGCACGCCUGAGCCUGGCCGGCCUCCGGGCUCGGCUCCGGCGCCGACCCGCCCCUGCCCGAGGCAUGCCGGGACUUGUAGUCCACGCCCCGCCGCCCUCCGCAGCCGCGUGCCCCCGGACCGCGGCCGCCGCCGCGCCACGUGCAGACGUGGGUUUUUGCGCCGCUGCUGUCUCGCAGCGCCAGGGGCUGCAGUUCCUUCCCCGCAGAGCAAACCCUUCCGGAACCGGCGUGGUGCCCACUCCGGCUCGCGUUCUUCUCCCCAUGCGGGAAGAGCGGCUAGGCUGCAGCUUGGAACCGAGAGGAUCCCAGGGUGACUCUAGAGUCGACCGACCUGGACCAGAGCGCAAAAUACCCACACCUGCCUCUUGAGGCUCUGCCUCGUUGGUGGAGACAGUAAACAGCCUGGCACCCCUUGAACUGCGUAGUGAAUUUGUGUUUUCUGGGGCCUUCUGGACGUAGCUGGACUGUACCUGAGCUUCAGGAUGGACACUUUUUGGGUAGUCAAGAGAGAGAGAGGCCUGGGCACCUGCGGCAUCGCACUCCCCCACUUGCUUGGCAGGACGUGCCUCCUCAUUAUCUUUGCCCCAGGAUUCCUGGAGAGCUUGUGGGUCUGAGGCUACUCCUUCCUAACAAAUAGAACAUUCUUGAUUCAUUCUGAGUGUCACUUUCCCCCAGGCACCGUGCUAGACUUUGGGUUACGCAAGUGGCUCUCUAGAGCUUUGAAAAAUCGCCGUACCCGGGCACCACCCCAAAUCAUCAGAAUCUCCCGGGAUGGGACGCAAGCAUCAGAAUUCUUUCCAGUUCAAGAUGAUUGCAAAAGGCAGUAAAGAGAACCAAAGAGCUUAAAAAUCAGUGAGACUGGCUGAAGAAACGAAUGCUCUAAUCCCUAGAAAAGUACUAGACCCAUUAUGUUUGAUGCUCAGAGGAUUAACAAUUAUUUUUGUUUUCAUUUUUGCAUCGUAUGAAAGAUUUAUGUUUAUUACUUACGCUGUUUAUUUAAGGGAAUACUUAAAGGAGUGGGUGAGACAGAUUUUCUCCAUUCCUUCACUGACGGUUUGCUCUCAAUUAUUUGAGCUAAUGGAAAGACAUCUAGGCAGGGAUGAUAUGAAAAAUAGACUUUUCAAGCUUUAUUAGUUUUUUCUUGCAUUUUUGUUAGGAGAUGAGGUUGUCAAAUAAUGAAUUUAUGGACUUGGGGAGUAUCCAUGCAUUGCAAAAAUUCAUACCAAGUGAUCCAUUUUUCGCCUUUGCCUGAACGUUUUAUACCUCAUCUGGAAACUCCUGUUCUCUAAUGUCGCAAUGACACCUGCAUGAUAAUGAGCUGCCGGCUAUUCUGUGGGUAUAUCCUUCAAAGCCUUGUCACCCAGUGUUUACUGAGGACCCGAUAUGCACCACACAUUGUGCCAGAACAUAGUGAGUCCUCAUUUAUUUCUACAGACCGGUUACAAAGACUAAGACAAAAACUAAAUAGGUGAAACCCGUGAACAUAAUGUUGAGAGAAUAAAGCAAGUCAGAAGAGAAGGUUAUGACCUGGGAAGAAUCAGCCUACUUUCCACUUUUCCUUCUUCCCUGUGCUGGGGUGUAGACAUAAUGGCCCCCUUGAACUCAGAAUUGGAAACUAGAUGGUUGGCUGCCUUACCGGGAAGAGAAUACAUUGACUGUAGGCUCCCCACUGACCGCGGCACGAAUCACAUGCUGGCCUUGCGCAAGGGAGACACAGAGCAGCGUGUAACCGAGAUAUUGUAGCGGUCUGACCAGGCUAUCGAUUCUGACCCUGGAGCUGAGUGGGGACUCCCUCCUCAGAGUAGGGAGGACGCUUUUGCUGGGCCAUUAACAAUGAACAGGACUCUGACCCCUCAGAAUGGAGAAGGGUACAUUCCUGUUACUAGUACGUCACCAUAAACUGCCCUGAGACUUAACAACCAUUUCACUAAGCUCACAGUUUCUACGGGUCAAGAAUUCAGCACGACUAUAAAGGGGACACCUUGUCUCUGCACCACCAUAUCUGGGUCCUCUACUAGGAAGGCCUCUAGGCCGGGGGGGCAGGGAACCCCAUAACUUGGAGCUGGAAUUAUCUGGAAGCAUCUCUCCUCACAUGGCUGGCAGUCGAUACUGGCUCUUGGAUCUGACCUCGGCUGGGGCUACCAGCAGAAGCACCUAACUGAGGCCUCGUCCCUGUGGCCUGGUCUCCCUCACAGUAUGGAAGCCUCAGGACCGUUGGGUUUGUAACUCAGCAGCCCAGGGCUCCAGAAGCGAGUGGUUCCCAGACAACCAGGCACAGGCUGCAUGGUAUUUUCUGACCUGGCUUCUUCAGAAGUUGUGACGUAUCGCUCCCAUCAGACUCUCUUGGUUACAACAGGGACACCAAGGUUCACUAGCUCAGAUGCAACAGGAGGGGACCCAGACUCUCACCUCUUAAUGGAAGGCACAUGGCCAGUUAAAAAAAUGUCACGGGCAUGCUAAGAAAGCAUGGGAGCACGCGGGGUGUGUGCAGCUUUGGGUGGGUAGUCUAAUGCUGCUAGAAUUUUAGGUGUGGGGUGGGAAGUGGCAGAAAGUGGGGCUAUACAUGUAGACUGGGGCCAUCAUGGGAAAAACCUUUACUGCCUUUGUGGCAGGCACCCUAUCUUAAGCCACACACGAUGGAAGAAAUAAAACCUUGUUUUUUUUUACGAGUCAAUCCACUUUUUCUUUUGAGAAAUUACAUCAGGGUGUGAGAAGAUCUGAGUCCUGGGUAAAUCUCUGCCACUCGGCCUUGCCUGAGCUCCGUCCUGGGACCUCCUUUCUCUGGGGCAUCUGCAGGGGGAGGGAGCUGGGUCUCUGUUCCUUUCCAUCCAAGCUGGCGUCUGCUCAGAUGUGCCUGCACCCGUUUUGUCCUGGGAUGGUGAUUCGAGCAGGGUACCGCUGAACUGUCCCUUGGUGCAGGGCUUCUAGAAUUCCGCUGGAUUUCAGCCCAAGCUGUCCCCUUCACAGGCACACAGGGAAAAUGUGGCUGCUCUCCUGCCCUUCUGUGGGGCUGCAGGGACUUCUGGGAGGUUGUCUGGGAUGUCCUCGGUCUACCUACUGUGUUUCACGUGUCCGCCAGGCCAGCUGCGCAGAGACAUUUCUAAGGCUGGAGACCUUGGGGGCCUCCCCACGGGCUGUGACGAUCAGUCCCCCUCCCCUCUAGAACCUCCAAAUCUACCUGUUCUCCCUCACUCCCUUCUGCCCUAAAAAUCAGAUUCCCUUCCCUGCAAUGUACAAGCUGCACUGAAUUACUUUAAAAAAAUUUUUUUUAACAUUUUUAUUUAUUUUUGAGAGAGAGAGAGAGAGACAGCACGUGAGCAGGGGAGGGGCAGAGAGAAAGGGAGACACAGAAUCCGAAGCAGGCUCCGGGCUCCGAGCUGUCAGCACAGAGCCCGACGCGGGGCUGGAACCCGCGAACUGGGAGAUCAUGACCUGAGCUGAAAUCGGACGCUUAACUGACUGAACCACCCAGGCACCCCUUGCAUUACCUUUUAAAUAAAAUUGAGAAAGACCAUGCUUUCAGCGAACAAUUUUACCAUUCUCCCUCUCUCCUUUUCCGCCAGGCUCAGGAUUCCUUAAGAUCUAACCCAAAAGUGGUUCCGUCCCAGGCUGUCUCAAUUGUUUAUUGUCAGUGUAUCGCGUGAUGGUCUAAACCUGACUUACGCGGUCAUUUAGCCUUGUCUGGCUCAGUGGUCAGUGUGAUGUCAACGACCUCUCAGUAAACACGUCCUUUGGUUUCCCCGAGACGGAGACCUCUUGCGCUUAUCUUGGUGAUUUGCGGUGUACAGAUGAAGCUUAUCCUGUGUGACUGAGCAAGGACUCUGGAAGGUGUACUUGGAUGCCUUUGGACGCCUUGGAUCCUCCUGAUGCAUUCUUUCUCUUGCUGUAUUGUAUUCCUCGUCUUCAUUUAAGCUUGAUGUCUGCAUGCUUUAAAAAAAAAAAAAAAAGUCUAACCCAAAAGUUAACCCCAGAGGCUGAGAAUGUGAGUGUAUCUUUUGUAUUUGUGACAAGAGGACCUCCCUUUUGGAAACUCAAAGACAAAGACUGGAGUCUUUUGAAUCUUCCCUUCCCCGAAGCAGCGAGGAUGGGUGGGAGAAGGUCCCCGGGGUCAGAGUGAAUAAGGAGAGGGGUAAUCUUCUUAUAUAUUGAAGGCAUUACUAUCACAAACCCGUGGGGCAGACACAGAGGUGCCCUCAGACCCCCCUCCAGGGAAAGGCUGACCGCCUGGCUCGGAGAAGUAUGGUUGAGUUGUCUGAUAGUUUCCUGUCUCCAGCCUUUUCAGAAUCUGGCUCAGCAUUUUUUUUAAACUGUGGCAAAAUACACAGGGCAUAGACUUUCCCGUCAGUGACAGAACCCUUAGAGCAGUCCUAAGUACAUUCACGGUAUUCACCACUACCUACUUCCAGAACAUUUUCAUCCACGCAAAAGGAAGCCCCAUCUCCAUUAAGCAAUUGAUCCCUUUUUGCCCCUUCUCCCCAGCCCCAGCAACCCCCAGCCCACUUUCCGUCUGUACGAAUUGGACUACUCCGGACGUUUCGUAUAAAUGCGAUGUGUGUCCUUUUGUGUCUGGUUUUCCUUCACUCAGCAUGUUUUCAGGGCUCUUUCCUUGGCCCUUGUAAAAUAGUGCUGCUGUGAAUAUUUGUGUGCAAGUUUUUCUCUGAACACCUGUCUUCAAACCUUUUGAGUGUAUUAAUUUGGGAGCAGAAUUGCUGAGUCGUAUGGUAAUUUUAUGCUUAACGUAUUGGGAAACCGCCAUACUGUUUUCUACGCUGGCUGUACAAUUCUCCAUCUCUACCAGCAAUGUAUAAGGGUUCCAGUGUUUCCGUAUCUUCACCAGUACUUAUCAUCCAAUGUUUUAACAUUUAUUUAUUUACUUA